GACGAACGAUGGCGGCGUGCUUAACACAUGCAAGUCGAACGGAGAGGCGAGCGGGUGCGUAAUACGUGGGUCACCUGCCCUCCUUUUUGGGGUAAGCCUUGGAAACGGGGUGUCAUCCCGAAUAACAGGGGAUGGGCUCGGGGCCUAUCAGCUUGUUGGUGGGGUGGUGGCCUACCAAGGCGGUGACGGGUAGCCGGCCUGCGAGGGUGAACGGCCAAAGUGGGACUGAGAUCCGGCCCAGACUCCUACGGGAGGCAGCAGUGGGGGAUAUUGCACGAGGGGCGAAAGCCUGAUGCAGCGAUGCAGCGUGUGUGAAGAAGGCCCUAGGGUUGUAAAGCACUUUCAGUCGGGAGGCGUUACCGACAGAAGAAGCACCGGCUAACUCCGUGCCAGCCGCCGCGGUAAUAC
rnacentral:rRNA from 1 species